rnacentral:misc_RNA from 1 species
ACCGUUAAUACUGAGCGCUACCGACAACAAAUGAUCGAUUUGAAUCAAGCUUUGCUUGCUUAGAGAAUCAAGAAUCAAGCUUCAUGAUAAUGCACCAUCACAUACAGCAAAACCGGUCAAGGAAACGAUCGAAGCGUUCAGUUGGGAAAUACUUUCGCACGCGGCUUACUCACCAGACUUGGCUCCGUCCGAUUACUAUUUAUUUGCAUCGAUGGGACACGCACUUUCUAACCAGCACUUCACUUCUUACGAAAAUAUACGAAAAUGCCUCGAUGACUGGUUUGCCUCAAAAGAGCGACAUUUUUUUCGCGUGACAUCCACCAAUUGCCAAACAGGUGGGAAAAAUGUAUAGCUAGCGAUGGGCAAUACUUCGAAUAAAAUAUUUUUAAUCAUUUUCAUACAAUAAACGUGUAUUUUCUAUACAAAAAUUCCGGUUUCAUAUUUACAUACCUGGUAUAUUUAUCUCACACAAACGUAAUAGUAUUACUUUUGCGUAGGUAUUUGGAAAAAUUGACAAACGCAUAUAUGCGUCCUUAAUCCAUGCCGGGCACUUACAGAAAACGCAUAUAUGUGUCCUUAGUCCACACCGAUAGCUUUCACCAGACGCAUAUACGCGCCCAUAGCACUCUAAGGGUUUACUAACUGAAUAAAAAAAUAAUAAUAUAAAAUACUUUUCGCAUUAUCACAGUUGAAAGAGAUAUUUUCGUAGCCUUAUUCGGAUGGAUCACAUGGCAGAUUACUACACACAUACGUUUCUUUCUCGCU